UCAAACAAAAUACCAAAGCCAACCAAACCCCAUCAACAAUAAACAAACAAACAAAAAUUCACAUAAUGUUCCUUUAUUUUUGUCAUCAAAGAGUUUUCCAUUCCUUCAGCUUUCGUUAAAGAUGAAAGGAAAAAGAAAGGUGCAUAGGGUUGUUUACCAAACAAGUAAAGGCAAGUCUCAUCUGCCCUUAGUGUCAGGCUUUGGAAUGAUUUCAAGUGUCACAAUUUAUCAACACACGAUGGCAGUAGAGGACCAUGAAAUGAUUAGUUGAUGCUGUACAUUAGUGAAACAAAAUCUGCCAAAGGCCUUUUUUUUCUAGAGAUAGUGACAGUCUUUGCUGAUGAAUAUUGGCAGUUCUGAGCCCAGCUCCACAGAGAAGUUGAAAAAAGAAAUAAAAAAAGGGGAAAGUUCACAGUCUUUUCUUGCUGAAAGUGGCUCUAGAUGUUUUCCCAGGUUCAGUUUGUGAUCCCAAACUCCAGGUAAGAAGUGGCAGAUUGGUGCUUUCAUUAAUGAUGACUUUUUGGAAAGCUUUCUGGCUUAUGAUGUGUACUAUAGCAGGUUUUGUAGUCAUUCUUUGUCUCUUGGUCAGGUUGUAGCAUUUUGAGGAUCUUCUGAAAUCAAAGAUUUCUCUAGCAGCCUAUUUAGCUGAUAAUGCUCCCUUAUCUGUGAUGAGUUUUGAGUGAGGUCUCAAAAGUGCUUACUGGACAGCCAUACUAACUAACCUAACACAACUUCUUUCAAACUGCAUUGCCACUUCAUUUUCAUUGCAUCAAGGAAAGUCUAUUAGACAUGUAGCUUGAUCCUCACAAUUAUGAGUUUGAUUUAAUGCCAUUACUUGUCAGCAUUGCCUUGUUGAGCGCUGAUAGCUUCAGCCUUUCUGCAGAACAUGUCUUCAUGGAUUUACUUUCAGGUGAGAUCUUUAGAUCUUUUACUAGACAUUUAACAUCAACUCCCUGUAACUUAAAGUAAUUACAUGGUUGAGAUUCCCAUGGGUCUCCCAAGUUGAGUCUGUGGCUGAAGGAAUAUUUGUACUGGUCAAUGGAUCGUGCUGCUGAGGUAACCCUGUAUGCUUCCCAUCUCCAGAGCCCAGCAGCAGCAAUAGCUGCAUCACUCCAAAAAGCCUAACUUAACAGGAUUUACCAAGAAGAUCUCAAGGGUAAGAUAGCUCUGCUGUUUCAGACACCUUAUGCUCUCAGAGCACUGUUCCCCAGGCCAAGAAAUUUUUUACAAGUUCUUUAUUUCUCCUGUGAUAGUCCUUGCAGGCAUUAUUAAAAAAUUUCAAGCACACAGCUGCUGCCUCAAAGAUAAAAUGUAUGAAAUGUAAUAGCAAUCGUUUCUUUUAAAAUUAACACUGGUUUUGCUUUUGCGAUUCACAAACAGGAGCUUUUCUAAGAAUUGUAUUCCCAGAAGAGGCCAAGGAGCAGAAAUUUGCACCUGAACGGAGAAGAGUAUGUUCACUUCCAUGGCUUUUGCCUACCUGAAGAUGAAGCGCUUGGAGGCUUUCAGGGAGUGGCAAUGGAAUGUGAUCCAAAUUAUUGUCAGUGAUAUAAAGAUGCUGCAGUUCAUCCAGAUUCUAGAGGAAGAUGAAAAAAACAAGGGGAGAUGACAGACAUUUUUGAAAACCUCUGGCAAGUAAAUUGAACUUCUUGGAGGAAUGAGUGUUUCUUGGAGGAAUGAGUGCUGAGAAAUCUGGCAAGCACCCUAGCUACACUGCUCACAGUGGUCUUUCAAAGGUCACAGGGAUCAGGAGAAGUGCCUGAGGACUGGAAGUAAGCUGGUGUCACCCCUAUCUACAAAAAGGUCAAGGAGGAUCUAGAGAAUUACUACCCAGUCAGCUUCACCUCGAUCCCUGAAAAGGUGAUGGAGCACCUCAUUCCAGAGGCCAUCUCCAUCCCCAGGGAUGGCAAGAAGAUCAUCAGGAGUAGCCAGCAUGGAUUCACUAAAGGUAAAUCAUGCUUGACCAAUCUGAUUGCCUUCUAAAAUGAAACAACAGCCAGAGUGGGUGAGGGGAGAACUAUUCUGACUUCAGCAAGGCUUUUGACAUUUUCUCUCACAGUAUACUCUUAGCAAACUCAGGAAGUGUGGACUGGAAGAGUGGAGAGUGAGGUGGAUUUAGAACUGACUGAACGGCAGAUCCCAGAAGGACAUAAUCAAUGGCAGUCUAGUGGGAGGUCUGUCACUAAUUCUGUCCCUCAAGGUUCAGUGCUGGGCCAGUAUUGUUUAACAUGUUCAGCAAUGACUUGGGUGGAGGGACAGAUGCCUCCUUAGAAAGCUGACUGAUGACAUAAAGCUGGGAGGAGUGGCCAAUAUCCCAGAGGGCUACGCAGCCCUCUAGAAUGAUCCCAACAAGCUGGAGAGAUGGGUUGAGAAGAACCAUCUGAAAUUCAACGAAGGCAAAUGCAGAGUCCUGCACCUGGUAAAUAACAACCCCACACAGCAGUACAGGCUGGGGGCUGAUCUGCUGGAAAGCAACUAUGCAGAGAACAACUUGGGUCCUGGUGGACAGCAAGCUGUCCAUGAGCCAGCAGUGCCCUUGUGGCCAAGAAGGCCAGUGGAGUCCUGAGGUGCAUUAGGAAGAGUAUUGCCAGCAGGUCAAGGGAGGAGAUCCUGCCCCCUGCUCAG